UUCCUACUCCCUCCGUCCCAUAUUAAGUGACUUUCUAUUACAUGUAUCUAUACGCUUUUUAGGCAUAGAUACGUCCAUAUUUGAGUCACUUAAUAUGGUACGGAGGGAGUACAAA
rnacentral:pre_miRNA from 1 species